AUUGAACGCUGGCGGCAGGCCUAACACAUGCAAGUCGAGCGGAUGAAGGGAGCUUGCUCCUGGAUUCAGCGGCGGACGGGUGAGUAAUGCCUAGGAAUCUGCCUGGUAGUGGGGGAUAACGUCCGGAAACGGGCGCUAAUACCGCAUACGUCCUGAGGGAGAAAGUGGGGGAUCUUCGGACCUCACGCUAUCAGAUGAGCCUAGGUCGGAUUAGCUAGUUGGUGGGGUAAAGGCCUACCAAGGCGACGAUCCGUAACUGGUCUGAGAGGAUGAUCAGGCACACUGGAACUGGGACCCGGUCCCGACUCCUACGGGAGGCCGCAGUGGGGAAUAUUGGACAAUGGGCGAAAGCCUGAUCCAGCCAUGCCGCGUGUGUGAAGAAGGUCUUCGGAUUGUAAAGCACUUUAAGUUGGGAGGAAGGGCAGUAAGUUAAUACCUUGCUGUUUUGACGUUACCAACAGAAUAAGCACCGGCUAACUUCGUG
rnacentral:rRNA from 1 species